rnacentral:lncRNA from 1 species
AUAUUUAAGAAAUGAGGUUACAAUUAGAGUUUAUGGUUUGGACUUUGGAGUAAUUAAAUAUUUUUACUCUUUAAUUAAUUACAUUUUGAGAGUUUGUUUGUAUGCUAUUUUUGUCAUAAUGUUGGGCUUAUACAACAAGCAUUUUGGACCUGUCAUGUGCAUACCAAAGCUUUUCGCGCUUGCUCAGAAAUUUCAAUUGUUUUUUCUCCCGCGCCCAAUUGGUUUUUU